rnacentral:rRNA from 1 species
AUUCCAGCUCCAAUAGCGUAUAUUAAAGUUGUUGCAGUUAAAAAGCUCGUAGUUGGGCCUUGGGCCUGGACGGGCGGUCCGCCUCACGGCGUGUACUGUCUUGCCGGGCCUUUCCUCUUGGUGAUCUGUUGUUUCGGCAGCAGGGAACCAGGACCUUUACUUUGAAAAAAUUAGAGUGUUCAAAGCAGGCUCGACGCCGGAAUAUAUUAGCAUGGAAUAAUAAAAUAGGACGUGCGGUUCUAUUUUGUUGGUUUUUGGAAUCGCCGUAAUGAUUAAUAGGGACAGUCGGGGGCAUUAGUACUCACAUGCUAGAGGUGAAAUUCUUGGAUUUUGUGAAGACUAACUUCUGCGAAAGCAUUUGCCAAGGAUGUUUUCAUUA